rnacentral:lncRNA from 1 species
UAAAACAACGGGUUCAUUCUUUGCUCCACUGCUGACCUCAUUGUCUCUUUGUGGAGUGAAAAUCCAGAGUUGCAUUCUGUUUAGUGGUCAGACAGCUGCUGGUGUGCAGCAUCUCUGCUGUAAUGGAGGUGAGUGGAUGAGAAAGCAGUCCUAGCAGCUCCCACCAGGAAACACCUGGAUCCAAACAACCAAAACAUGAGUCUUAGGAGAGAUGCUGUGGCAGUGAUUGAGAAUCCUGUGGUCAGACAGUCUUUCCAUCCAGAGCAUCUGCAGGUGGACAGGAUUGAGACGGGACAGAAUAAUCCUACCUGGAUCAGAGAGCUACAGUUUCUCCAUCCAGUGUCUGGCAAAGUGUCGGCCCAUAAACUGGUGAGAGUGUUUGCAGCUCUGUGUGUACUCUGUCUGCUGGGAGGUGUUGUCAUUGGAGUUUGGUUCAUAGUGAAAAUUCUCUUAAGGCCAAACUCAGCUCAGAGCCCUGUGAGUUUAGGAGACACCAAAGACACAUCCUUCUGCAAUGUAACCGAGGACACCUCUGUGACGGAUGCCAGGAAAGUGUUUUACAGGAUCAGUGCUGAGAACUCUCUUCUGGAAAUCCAGCUGGAGAAGCAACAGACGUGGCUGCCUGUAUGUUAUGAGAGGUGGAACUCCUCUCUGGGAACGCUUGUAUGUCGACAGCUGGGCUAUCUGAGGUGA